rnacentral:rRNA from 1 species
GACGAACGCUGGCGGCGUGCUUAACACAUGCAAGUCGAACGGAAAGGCCCUGCUUUUGUGGGGUGCUCGAGUGGCGAACGGGUGUGUAACACGUGUGUAACCUGCCCUUGAUUUUGGUAUAACUUCAGGAAACUGGGGCUAAUACCGGAUAGGCUCUCCUGGUGCGUGGUGGGGGUUGGAGAGUUUCGGCGGUUGGGGAUGGACUCGCGGCUUAUCAGCUUGUUGGUGGGGUAGUGGCUUACCAAGGCUUUGACGGGUAGCGGGCCUGAGAGGGUGACCGGCAACAUUGGGACUGAGAUACGGCCCAGACUCCUACGGGAGGCAGCAGUGGGGAAUAUUGAACAAUGGGCGGAAGCCGGAUGCAGCAACGCCGCGUGCGGGAUAACGGCCUUCGGGUUGUAACCCGCUUUCGCCUGUGACGAAGCGUGAGUGACGGUAAUGGGUAAAGAAGCACCGGCUAACUACGUG